rnacentral:rRNA from 1 species
AGCGUUUGACAUCCUACAAAGAGUGCAGAGAUGUGCUUGUGCUUCUUCGGAAGAAUGUAGUGACAGGUGGUGCAUGGCU